GAAGCCCGCCAGACCGCCGCUGGUGCAAUCUGGGAAACCAGGCACUGGAGGAACGUCCGGACUGCACAGGGCAGCGUAGGAGGUAAUACCUCUCCACCGUGAGGUGAGGAUCAGAGCAACAGAGACGAGUCGCACCGGGCAACCGGUGCGGGUGAAACGGGCAAUCUCUACGCGCAGCAAUACCAAAUAGGCCAGCGUUGAUGUGGCUCCGCGGAGCUGGCGGGUAGGUAGCACCGAGCCGUGGGGGCGACCCCCGGCCCAGAGGAAUGGCGGUCACGUUCGGCCUUCGCAAGAGGGCCAGACGCCACAGAAUCCGGCUUAUCGGCGGACUUCACAC
rnacentral:RNase_P_RNA from 1 species